GAUGAACGCUGGCGGCGUGCCUAAUACAUGCAAGUCGAGCGAAUGGAUUAAGAGCUUGCUCUUAUGAAGUUAGCGGCGGACGGGUGAGUAACACGUGAGUAACCUGCCCAUAAGACUGGGAUAACUCCGGGAAACCGGGGCUACUACCGGAUAACAUUUUGAACCGCAUGGUUCGAAAUCGAAAGGCGGCUUCGGCUGUCACUUCUGGAAGGACCUGCGUCGCAUUAGCUAGUUGAUGAGGUAACGGCUCACCAAGGCAACGAUGCGUAGCCGAGCUGAGAGGGUGAUCGGCCACACUGGGACUGAGACACGGCCCAGACUCCUACGGGAGGCAGCAGUAGGGAAUCUUCCGCAAUGGACGAAAGUCUGACGGAGCAACGCCGCGUGAGUGAUGAAGGCUUUCGGGUCGUAAAACUCUGUUGUUAGGGAAGAACAAGUGCUAGUUGAAUAAGCUGGCACCUUGACGGUACCUAACCAGAAAGCCACGGCUAACUACGUGCCAGCCGCCGCCGUAA
rnacentral:rRNA from 1 species